rnacentral:rRNA from 1 species
AGUGAACGCUGGCGGUAGGCCUAACACAUGCAAGUCGAACGGCAGCACAGUAAGAGCUUGCUCUUACGGGUGGCGAGUGGCGGACGGGUGAGGAAUACAUCGGAAUCUACUUUUUCGUGGGGGAUAACGUAGGGAAACUUACGCUAAUACCGCAUACGACCUACGGGUGAAAGCAGGGGAUCUUCGGACCUUGCGCGAUUGAAUGAGCCGAUGUCGGAUUAGCUAGUUGGCGGGGUAAAGGCCCACCAAGGCGACGAUCCGUAGCUGGUCUGAGAGGAUGAUCCGCCACACUGGAACUGAGACACGGUCCAGACUCCUACGGGAGGCAGCAGUGGGGAAUAUUGGCCAAUAGGCGCAAGCCUGGUCCAGCCAUACCGCGUGGGUGAAGAAGGCCUUCGGGUUGUAAAGCCCUUUUGUUGGGAAAGAAAAGCAGCAGGUUAAUACCCCGCUGUUCUGACGGUACCCAAAGAAUAAGCACCGGCUAACUUCGUG